rnacentral:rRNA from 1 species
UACAGAGGUGGCAAGCGUUGUUCGGAAUUACUGGGCGUAAAGGGCGCGUAGGCGGUCUUGCAAGUCCUGUGUGAAAUCCCUCGGCUCAACUGAGGGACUGCACAGGAAACUGCUUGGCUUGAGUUCGGGAGAGGGAAGCGGAAUUCCGGGUGUAGCGGUGAAAUGCGUAGAUAUCGGGAGGAACACCUGCGAUGUAGAUGGCUUACUGGACCGUAACUGACGCUGAGGCACGAAAGCGUGGGUAGCAAACAGG